UACGUAGGGGGCGAGCGUUAUCCGGAUUCACUGGGUGUAAAGGGAGCGUAGACGGCCAUGCAAGCCAGGGGUGAAAGCCCGGGGCCCAACCGCGGGACUGCAUUGGGAACUACCGGGCUGGAGUGCCGGAGAGGUAGGCGGAAUUCCUAGUGUAGCGGUGAAAUGCGUAGAUAUUAGGAGGAACACCAGUGGCGAAGGCGGCCUACUGGACGGUGACUGACGCUGAGGCUCGAAAGCGUGGGGAGCAAACAGG
rnacentral:rRNA from 1 species